rnacentral:rRNA from 1 species
CACGUGGGGAACCUGCCCAUAAGAGGGGGAUAACAUCCGGAANCGGGUGCUAAUACCGCAUAGGUGAUCAUAGCGCAUGCUUAGAUCAUUAAAGAUGGCUUCGCUGUCGCUUAUGGAUGGCCCCGCGGCGUAUUAGCUAGUUGGUGAGGUAAUGGCUCACCAAGGCUGUGAUACGUACCGACCUGAGAGGGUGAUCGGCCACACUGGAACUGAGACACGGUCCAUACUCCUACGGGAGGCAGCAGUAGGGAAUCUUCCACAAUGGGCGAAAGCCUGAUGGAGCAAUACCGCGUGAGUGAAGAAGGUCUUCGGAUCGUAAAGCUCUGUUGUUAGAGAAGAACAANACGCGUAGUAACUGGCACCUCCUUGUACGGUAUCUAACCAGAAAGUCACGGCUAACUACGUGCCAGCAGCGCGGUAAUACGUAGGUGACAAGCGUUGUCCGGAUUUAUUGGGCGUAAAGCGAGCGCAGCGGUCUUUUAAGUCUGAUGUGAAAGCCCACGGCUCACCCGUGGGAGGGGUCAUUGGAAACUGGACGACUUGAAUGCAGAAGAGGAAAGUGGACUUCCAUGUGUAGCGGUGAAUG